GACCUAGUGGCGGAAUGUACCGUGUCCGCAAAAUUUUAGAGAAGUCUGGGAUAAUUUGCGCGGGAGGCUCUGGUUCGAAUCCAGGCUAGGUCA